rnacentral:rRNA from 1 species
AUUGAACGCUGGCGGCAGGCCUAACACAUGCAAGUCGAGCGAGCGGCGGACGGGUGAGUAAUGUAUGGGGAUCUGCCCGAUCGAGGGGGAUAACUACUGGAAACGGUAGCUAAUACCGCAUACUAUUGGAGCGGCCGGUAUCGGAUUAGCUAGUGGGUGGGGUGAAGGGUCACCGAGGCAACGAUCCGUAGCUGGUUUGAGAGGACGAGCAGCCACACUGGGACUGAGACACGGCCCAGACUCCUACGGGAGGCAGCAGUGGGGAAUUUUGGACAAUGGGGGAAACCCUGAUCCAGCCAUCCCGCGUGUAUGAGAAGGCCUGCGGGUUGUAAAGUACUAUUGGCAGAGAAGCGGUAUCUGCAGAAUAAGCACCGGCUAACUACGUGCCAGCAGCCGCGGUAAUUC